rnacentral:rRNA from 1 species
UACGGGGGAUGCAAGCGUUAUCCGGAAUCAUUGGGCGUAAAGCGCUUGUAGGUGGUUUAAUAAGUCUGUUGUUAAAGACUAGGGCUCAACCCUAGAAAAGCAAUGGAAACUACUAGACUAGAGUAUGGCAGGGGUAGAGGGAAUUUCUAGUGUAGCGGUGAAAUGCGUAGAUAUUAGAAGGAACACCAGUGGCGAAGGCGCUCUACUAGACCAUUACUGACACUCAGAGGCGAAAGCUAGGGUAGCAAAAGGGAUUAGAUACCCCUGUAGUCCUAGCCGUAAACGAUGGAUACUAGAUGUUGGAUUUAUUUCACAGUAUCGUAGCUAACGCGUUAAGUAUCCCGCCUGGGGAGUACGCUCGCAAGGGUG